rnacentral:rRNA from 1 species
UACGUAGGGUGCAAGCGUUAAUCGGAAUUACUGGGCGUAAAGCGCGUGUAGGCGGUCACGCAAGUCAGGUGUGAAAGCCCAGGGCUCAACCCUGGAAGUGCACAUGAUACUACGUGGCUGGAGUACUGAAGAGGAGAGCGGAAUUCCCGGUGUAGAGGUGAAAUUCGUAGAUAUCGGGAGGAACACCAGUGGCGAAGGCGGCUCUCUGGGCAGAUACUGACGCUGAGACGCGAAAGCGUGGGUAGCAAACAGG